rnacentral:lncRNA from 1 species
UUAAUUAUGUUAAAAAAAAAUAAAAAGCAUUCUAAGAUAUGUUAUUCCUUGUUUAUAUUCUAAAAUAUAAAUCUUGAAUUAACUUUGUUAAAGGAAAAAAAUCUUCAAUUAAUUCUUUCCUCAUUGAUUUUGCCAUUAUAAAUAGAGGGAAGCAACCCUUGGCUUUUCCUCCUUAAAAUUAACCGACAGCCAAACACUCCUCAACAAUCUCACUCAGCCAGAGACUAGCCCUCCACCACGUUAGCGACAACCUCUCCCUCGUCAACGCCACCAUAGUUUUUGCUCACCACACAGGCACGAUCUGACUCGAGAACCAUAACAAACCCAAUUGUUUCUCUCUUCAACUGACCAGCCGAGAACACCUCCUCUAACCCAGCCACCACAAUAAUCAACUCAUUGACCCGAAGCAUUCCUCAAUUAAAUUACAACCCCAAGACUAGCUUUUAGCCUCUAUAGCAAUGACAAUAUCCAACCGAUGAGAGAGAAACAAAACUAAGAGAGAAAAGUCAUGAUAAAGAAGAAGAAGAAAUAGACAAGAGAAAAUGAAACUGAAAUGCUCUUAUGAUUCCUUUUCUCUUUUGCAGGUAACGUUGAAGCUCGCCACCAUCAGGGAAAUUACGAGGGAGGAAAGGCGCUUCAGAUCCACUAGGUUACUUCCUUUCAGCAAUGAUGAUGCAUGGUUCCACGCGCUGGCAGUGGAAAUGUUGUGUGGAAUCCAUGCCCCGUUUAGUAGCUUUAGGAAUUGUUUGGAAAUGUGGUUUAAUUUGUAUUUUUUAAACUCUUAAUUUUUUUUAUUUAAAAUUAAUAUUUUUAAAUCGUUAUGAUAUAUUAAUAUUAAAAAUAAAAAUAAUAUUAUUUUUAUAUAUUUUUAUAUAAAAAAUAUUUUAAAAAAUAACUAAACAA